UCCGAAUUGGUGUAGUGGCUAACAUUUGACGCUCUCAUUGAAGAUCCGUCAAGCCCGGGGUUCGAUUCCCCGAUUCGGAG